UAUUUUUAUAUAUGAUCAGGAACAUUUGGAAAGGGAAUUGGCUUCUGCAAGAGAAGAAUCUGUUAAACUUUCUGAGAGAUUGAAGGAGGCAUUUCAAGAAGUGGAGACAGCAAAGAAGGAAAAGGAGGAAUGUAUGGAGAAACUUU